UCCUCCCCUCCAGCUGCUGUCGCGGAAGCUGCUGCCACCACCGUCCUCAGGAUUCCUCCCGAGACAGCUUCUCUGCUUUCCACGGAGGAGUCCCUGACAGCAGCCACGGAAGCUGCUGUCCUGGAGGCUGCUGCCGCCAACGUCCUCAGGAGUCCCCCC